rnacentral:rRNA from 1 species
UACGGGGGGGGCAAGCGUUGUUCGGAAUUACUGGGCGUAAAGGGUUUGUAGGUGGCCGGCUAAGUCAGACGUGAAAUCCCUCAGCUUAACUGGGGAACUGCGUCUGAAACUGAUCGGCUCGAGUGCAGGAGAGGAACGCGGAAUUCCAAGUGUAGCGGUGAAAUUCGUAGAUAUUCGGAAGAACACCAGUGGCGAAGGCGGCUCACUGGCCCGGUACUGACGCUGAGGUGCGAAAGCGUGGGGAGCGAACAGG